CCUCCCCUUCCCAUCACUCGUUCCUCCCCAAAAAAGUACAAUACAAACUUAAAAAAAARCCAAAAAAAUUUCAAGUCUAUAAGAAAACGAUGUCAGAGGUUUGAGAUUUUUACUURGUGAGAUUCACUCACGCACCAGAUUUU
rnacentral:misc_RNA from 1 species